rnacentral:rRNA from 1 species
UACGUAGGGGGCGAGCGUUGUCCGGAGUUACUGGGCGUAAAGCGCACGCAGGCGGUCUGCUAAGUUUGGAGUGACAGUUGGUGGCUUAACUGCCAAAGUGCUUCGAAAACUGACAGACUUGAGGGCUUCAGAGGGACACGGAAUUCCGGGUGGAGUGGUGAAAUGCGUAGAGAUCCGGAGGAACACCAAAGGCGAAGGCAGUGUCCUGGGGAGUACCUGACGCUCAAGUGCGAAAGCCAGGGGAGCGAAUGGG